rnacentral:rRNA from 1 species
GCUAGACGGGACGCAGUAACACGUAGGCGAACGUACCCCUUUAGUGUUUCUGUGAACAACCCAAGUGUAAACUUGGGUGCCUAAAUACCGUGCAUAAUGAUCCAGCAAGGAGGUAAACGACUUUAUUCGGCUCAAAGGAUCGGACCCGUCGUCUGAUUAGCUAUUUGGCUGCAGCGUUAAUGGCUCACCCAAGGCGACGAUCCAGUAGACUGGUCUGAGAGGAUGAUCAGGCUCACUGGGACUCGAGACACGGUCCUAGAACUCCUCUCAUACGGGAGGCAGCAGUGGGGAAUAUUGGACAAUGGGCGCAAGCCUGAUCCAGCCAUGCCGCGUGGGUGAUGAAGGCCCUAGGGUUGUAAAGCCCUUUCGGCGGGGAAGAUAAUGACGGUACCCGCAGAAGAAGCCCCGGUAACUUCGUGCCAGCAGCCGCGGUAAUACGAAGGGGGCUAGCGUUGCUCGGAAUCACUGGGCGUAAAGCGCACGUAGGCGGAUUGUUAAGUCAGGGGUGAAAUCCUGGAGCUCAACUCCAGAACUGCCUUUGAUACUGACGGUCUUGAGUCCGGGGAGAGGUGAGUGGAACUGCGAGUGUAGAGGUGAAAUUCG